UGGCGGCGUGCCUAAUACAUGCAAGUCGAGCGAGCUGAAUUCAAAGAUUCCUUCGGGAUGAUUUGUUGGACGCUAGCGGCGGAUGGGUGAGUAACACGUGGGCAAUCUGCCCUAAAGACUGGGAUACCACUUGGAAACAGGUGCUAAUACCGGAUAACAACAUGAAUCGCAUGAUUCAAGUUUGAAAGGCGGCGUAAGCUGUCACUUUAGGAUGAGCCCGCGGCGCAUUAGCUAGUUGGUGGGGUAAAGGCCUACCAAGGCAAUGAUGCGUAGCCGAGUUGAGAGACUGAUCGGCCACAUUGGGACUGAGACACGGCCCAAACUCCUACGGGAGGCAGCAGUAGGGAAUCUUCCACAAUGGACGCAAGUCUGAUGGAGCAACGCCGCGUGAGUGAAGAAGGUUUUCGGAUCGUAAAGCUCUGUUGUUGGUGAAGAAGGAUAGAGGCAGUAACUGGUCUUUAUUUGACGGUAAUCAACCAGAAAGUCACGGCUAACUACGUGCCAGCAGCCGCGGUAAUACGUAGGUGGCAAGCGUUGUCCGGAUUUAUUGGGCGUAAAGCGAGCGCAGGCGGAAUGAUAAGUCUGAUGUGAAAGCCCACGGCUCAACCGUGGAACUGCAUCGGAAACUGUCAUUCUUGAGUGCAGAAGAGGAGAGUGGAAUUCCAUGUGUAGCGGUGGAAUGCGUAGAUAUAUGGAAGAACACCAGUGGCGAAGGCGGCUCUCUGGUCUGCAACUGACGCU
rnacentral:rRNA from 1 species